rnacentral:rRNA from 1 species
UACGUAGGGUGCGAGCGUUGUCCGGAAUUAUUGGGCGUAAAGAGCUUGUAGGCGGUUUGUCGCGUCUGCCGUGAAAAUUCGAGGCUCAACCUCGAACUUGCGGUGGGUACGGGCAGACUAGAGUGUGGUAGGGGGAGACUGGAAUUCCUGGUGUAGCGGUGAAAUGCGCAGAUAUCAGGAGGAACACCGAUGGCGAAGGCAGGUCUCUGGGCCACUACUGACGCUGAGAAGCGAAAGCAUGGGGAGCGAACAG